rnacentral:rRNA from 1 species
AUUGAACGCUGGCGGCAUGCCUUACACAUGCAAGUCGAACGGCAGCAUGGGAGCAAUCCUGGUGGCGAGUGGCGAACGGGUGAGUAAUAUAUCGGAACGUGCCCAGUCGUGGGGGAUAACGUAGCGAAAGCUACGCUAAUACCGCAUACGAUCCAUGGAUGAAAGCGGGGGAUCGCAAGACCUCGCGCGAUUGGAGCGGCCGAUAUCAGAUUAGCUAGUUGGUGGGGUAAAAGCCCACCAAGGCGACGAUCUGUAGCUGGUCUGAGAGGACGACCAGCCACACUGGAACUGAGACACGGUCCAGACUCCUACGGGAGGCAGCAGUGGGGAAUUUUGGACAAUGGGCGAAAGCCUGAUCCAGCAAUGCCGCGUGCAGGACGAAGGCCUUCGGGUUGUAAACUGCUUUUGUACGGAGCGAAACGGUCCUCUCUAAUACAGGGGGCUAAUGACGGUACCGUAAGAAUAAGCACCGGCUAACUACGUGCCAGCCGCCGCAGUAA